GCCGGGCUAGCUCAAUUGGUAGAGCAGUUGACUCUUAAUCAAUUGGUUCGGGGUUCGAGUCCCCGGCCCGGUACCA
rnacentral:tRNA from 6 species